GAUGAAGAACGUAGCGAAAUGCGAUAAGUAAUGUGAAUUGCAGAAUUCAGUGAAUCAUCGAAUCUUUGAACGCACAUUGCGCCCGCCAGUAUUCUGGCGGGCAUGCCUGUCUGAGCGUCAUUUCAACCCUCAUGCCCCUAGGGCGUGGUGUUGGGGAUCGGCCAAAGCCCGCGAGGGACGGCCGGCCCCUAAAUCUAGUGGCGGACCCGUCGUGGCCUCCCCUGCGAAGUAGUGAUAUUCCGCAUAGGAGAGCGACGAGCCCCUGCCGUUAAACCCCCAACUUUCUCAGGUUGACCUCAGAUCAGGUAGGAAUACCCGCUGAACUUAAGCAUAUCAAUAAGCGGAGGA
rnacentral:misc_RNA from 1 species